rnacentral:rRNA from 1 species
UACGGGGGGGGGCAAGCGUUGUUCGGAAUUACUGGGCGUAAAGGGCUCGUAGGCGGCCAACUAAGUCAGACGUGAAAUCCCCCAGGCUCAACCUGGGAACUGCGUCUGAUACUGGAUGGCUUGAAUCCGGGAGAGGGAUGCAGAAUUCCAGGUGUAGCGGUGAAAUGCGUAGAUAUCUGGAGGAAUACCGGUGGCGAAGGCGGCAUCCUGGACCGGCAUUGACGCUGAGGAGCGAAAGCCAGGGGAGCAAACGGG